GAUGAACGCUAUCAAUAUACUUGACACAUGCAAGUUGAACGGAAAUUAUAUUUUCGUAGCGUAAGGGUGAGUAAUACAUAAGAAUCUACCAUUAAAUAAUGAUACAAGCAGAUCUAGUUAUAGAGAACGGAUAAUUUUAUCCAAUGCAAAUAUCUAAAGAAUGAUAAUUCGUUUAAUGAUGAGCUUAUGGAAGAUUAGGUAGUUGGCAGGGUAAUGGCCUACCAAGCCGAUGAUCUUUAGCUGGUUUGAGAGAAUGGCCAGCCACACUGGAACUGAAACAAGGUCCAGGCUUUUUCGGAAGCCAGCAGUGAGGAAUAUUGGACAAUGGGCGAAAGCCUGAUCCAGUAAUAUUGAGUGCGCGAGGAAAGCAUAAAAGACAUUUUAUAUGUUGGCUGUAAAGCGCUUUCGUCAAAGAAGA
rnacentral:rRNA from 1 species